AAUGAUGGAGGAGAGAUUUGAGGGAUACAUUACGGCCCAGACUACUACAAGAGGCAGCAAUGGGGAAUUUUUUGUAAUGGGCAAAAGCCUGAUGGAGCAAUGUCGCGUGAAGGUAGAAGAUCUACAAGUCAUGAACUUCUUUUUCCGGAGAAGAAGCAAUGACAAUAUCUUUGAGAAUAAGUAUCGGCUAACUCUGUGCCCGCAGUCGCGGUAAUACAGAGGAUGCAAGUGUU
rnacentral:rRNA from 1 species